rnacentral:tRNA from 1 species
ACCCAAAUAGCUCAGUUAGGAGAGCGUUAAACUAUGGAUCCAAAGGUCCCUGGUUCAAUCCCGGGAGGCGGCA